GACGAACGCUGGCGGCGUGCUUAACACAUGCAAGUCGAACGGAAAGGCCCUGCGUUUGUGGGGUGCUCGAGUGGCGAACGGGUGAGUAACACGUGAGUAACCUGCCCUUGACUUUGGGAUAACUUCAGGAAACUGGGGCUAAUACCGGAUAGGAGCUCCUGCUGCAUGGUGGGGGUUGGAAAGUUUCGGCGGUGGGGGAUGGACUCGCGGCUUAUCAGCUUGUUGGUGGGGUAGUGGCUUACCAAGGCUUUGACGGGUAGCCGGCCUGAGAGGGUGACCGGCGACCUUGCGACUGCGAUACGCAGCAGAAUCCAACGGGAGGCAGUAGGCGGAAGUCUUGCCCAACGACGGCACGCGUGUUACAGAGACGCCGCGUGCGGAAUGCCGGCCUUCGGGUUAUAAACCGCUUUCGACUGUAACGAAGCGUGCGUGACGGUACUGGGUAAAAAAGCCCCGGCUAACUACGUG
rnacentral:rRNA from 1 species